GUUUCUGUAGUGUAGUGGUUAUCAUGUUUGCCUAACAUGCAAAAGGUCCCUGGUUUGAAACCAGGCAGAAACA
rnacentral:tRNA from 1 species